rnacentral:tRNA from 1 species
GCACAGGUAAAUUCGAGGAAGUCCUUUACCAAUGCCCUCCGAAGGCAGAGGUCACAGGUUCGAAUCCUGUCGGGUGCGCCA